rnacentral:snRNA from 1 species
AUACUCUGUUUUCUCUUCAGAUCGUACAAAUCUUUUGCCUUUUACUAAAGAUUUCCAUGGAGAGGAACAGUAGAAGUUGUACAAGGC